UGUGGACGACGUCAAGUCAUCAUGGCCCUUAUGCCCAGGGCGACACACGUGCUACAAUGGCAUAUACAAUGAGACGCAAUACCGCGAGGUGGAGCAAAUCUAUAAAAUAUGUCCCAGUUCGGAUUGUUCUCUGCAACUCGAGAGCAUGAAGCCGGAAUCGCUAGUAAUCGUAGAUCAGCCAUGCUACGGUGAAUACGUUCCCGGGUCUUGUACUCACCGCCCGUCACACCAUGGGAGUUGAUUUCACUCGAAGCCGGAAUACUAAACUAGUUACCGUCCACAGUGGAAUCAGCGACUGGGGUGAAGUCGUAACAAGGUAACCGUAGGAGAACCUGCGGUUGGAUCACCUCCUUUCUAG
rnacentral:rRNA from 1 species